rnacentral:rRNA from 1 species
GACGAACGCUGGCGGCGUGCCUAAUACAUGCAAGUCGAACGCAGUGGGGACGGGUGAGUAACAAGUGGGUAACCUCCCAUCAGAGGGGAUAACACUUGGAAACAGGUGCUAAACCGAUAUUGAUGGAUGGACCCGCGUGGCAUUAGCUAGUUGGUGAGGUAACGGCUCACCAAGGCCACGAUGCAUAGCCGACCUGAAGGGGUGAUAGGCCACACGGGGACUAGGACACGGCCCAGACUCCUACGGGAGGCAGCAGUGGGGAAUAUUGCACAAUGGGCGCAAGCCUGAUGCAGCCAUGCCGCGUGUGUGAAGAAGGCCUUCGGGUUGUAAAGCACUUUCAGCGGGGAGGCGUUACCCGCAGAAGAAGCACCGGCUAACUCCGUGCCAGCAGCCGCGGUAAUUC